rnacentral:rRNA from 1 species
CCCUUAGAUGUUCUGGGCCGCACGCGCGCUACACUGACCAGUGCAACAAGCAUCCGUCCUUGGCCGACAGGCCCGGGCAAUCUUUGAACGCUGGUCGUGAUGGGGAUAGACUUUUGCAAUUUUUGGUCUUCAACGAGGAAUUCCUAGUAAACGCAAGUCAUCAACUUGCAUUGAUUACGUCCCUGCCCUUUGUACGCACCGCCCGUCGCACCUACCGAUUGAAUGGUCCGGUGAAGCCUCCGGAUUGGCGCGCACCUCGGUGCCGCCGAGAAGUUGGCUAAACCUUACCAUUUAGAGGAAGGUGAAGUCGUAACA